UCUUUUAAGUUAUAUGAUGAUAUUUUCCAUGCACCACUCUGAGUUCAGUGUAGAUUAUGGAUAUCUGACCGAUG
rfam:Drosophila simulans strain New Caledonia 48S Cont4393.1, whole genome shotgun sequence.